rnacentral:rRNA from 1 species
AUCCAAGUCGAGCGGGACAGAUGGGAGCUUGCUCCCUGAUGUUAGCGGCGGACGGGUGAGUAACACGUGGGUAACCUGCCUGUAAGACUGGGAUAACUCCGGGAAACCGGGGCUAAUACCGGAUGGUUGUUUGAACCGCAUGGUUCAAACAUAAAAGGUGGCUUCGGCUACCACUUACAGAUGGACCCGCGGCGCAUUAGCUAGUUGGUGAGGUAACGGCUCACCAAGGCAACGAUGCGUAGCCGACCUGAGAGGGUGAUCGGCCACACUGGGACUGAGACACGGCCCAGACUCCUACGGGAGGCAGCAGUAGGGAAUCUUCCGCAAUGGACGAAAGUCUGACGGAGCAACGCCGCGUGAGUGAUGAAGGUUUUCGGAUCGUAAAGCUCUGUUGUUAGGGAAGAACAAGUACCGUUCGAAUAGGGCGGUACCUUGACGGUACCUAACCAGAAAGCCACGGCUAACUACGUGCCAGCAGCCGCGGUAAUACGUAGGUGGCAAGCGUUGUCCGGAAUUAUUGGGCGUAAAGGGCUCGCAGGCGGUUUCUUAAGUCUGAUGUGAAAGCCCCCGGCUCAACCGGGGAGGGUCAUUGGAAACUGGGGAACUUGAGUGCAGAAGAGGAGAGUGGAAUUCCACGUGUAGCGGUGAAAUGCGUAGAGAUGUGGAGGAACACCAGUGGCGAAGGCGACUCUCUGGUCUGUAACUGACGCUGAGGAGCGAAAGCGUGGGGAGCGAACAGGAUUAGAUACCCUGGUAGUCCACGCCGUAAACGAUGAGUGCUAAGUGUUAGGGGGUUUCCGCCCCUUAGUGCUGCAGCUAACGCAUUAAGCACUCCGCCUGGGGAGUACGGUCGCAAGACUGAAACUCAAAGGAAUUGACGGGGCCGCGCCCAAGAAAGAAA